UACAGAGGGUGCGAGCGUUGUUCGGAAUUACUGGGCGUAAAGCGCGCGUAGGCGGCUUUGCAAAUCGGGUGUGAAAUCCCCAGGCUUAACCUGGGAACUGCAUUCGAGACUGCAUUGCUAGAGUAUGGGAGAGGGAAGUGGAAUUUCCGGUGUAGCGGUGAAAUGCGUAGAUAUCGGAAGGAACAUCAGUGGCGAAAGCGACUUCCUGGACCAAUACUGACGCUCAUGUGCGAAAGCGUGGGGAGCAAACAGG
rnacentral:rRNA from 1 species